GACGAACGCGGGCGGCGUGCGUGAUACAUGCAAGUAGAACGCUGAAGGAGGAGCUUGCUCUUCUGGAUGAGUUGCGAACGGGUGAGUAACGCGUAGGUAACCUGCCUGGUAGCGGGGGAUAACUAUUGGAAACGAUAGCUAAUACCGCAUAAGAGUAGAUGUUGCAUGACAUUUACUUAAAAGGUGCAAUUGCAUCACUACCAGAUGGACCUGCGUUGUAUUAGCUAGUUGGUGGGGUAACGGCUCACCAAGGCGACGAUACAUAGCCGACCUGAGAGGGUGAUCGGCCACACUGGGACUGAGACACGGCCCAGACUCCUACGGGAGGCAGCAGUAGGGAAUCUUCGGCAAUGGACGGAAGUCUGACCGAGCAACGCCGCGUGAGUGAAGAAGGUUUUCGGAUCGUAAAGCUCUGUUGUAAGAGAAGAACGAGUGUGAGAGUGGAAAGUUCACACUGUGACGGUAUCUUACCAGAAAGGGACGGCUAACUACGUGCCAGCAGCCGCGGUAAUACGUAGGUCCCGAGCGUUGUCCGGAUUUAUUGGGCGUAAAGCGAGCGCAGGCGGUUAGAUAAGUCUGAAGUUAAAGGCUGUGGCUUAACCAUAGUACGCUUUGGAAACUGUUUAACUUGAGUGCAAGAGGGGAGAGUGGAAUUCCAUGUGUAGCGGUGAAAUGCGUAGAUAUAUGGAGGAACACCGGUGGCGAAAGCGGCUCUCUGGCUUGUAACUGACGCUGAGGCUCGAAAGCGUGGGGAGCAAACAGG
rnacentral:rRNA from 1 species